CAUCUUUUACUGCGAGGGCCAGCUUCAAGGGAAACUGAUCUGCAUGGGAAAACUCAUGGGCAGAAAUCCCGACUUGAACCUGGAAGCCCUGAAGAAAUUCCUGCCGCACCGGGAUUGCCACAGAACAGCUUCAUGCCUGUCCAGUUGGGGCAUCUUCUCACUCCUGAAUUCUCCUUGGUUUCUACAGAAAGCUGCAUUCCUGAAGGUGAUUAGGGUAAGUGACCCUUAAAGCAAACAAGAGUCCUGGGUUCAGUGGGAUGUCAAGAGCACCAGGGCCCCCCAAGCUGCCGACAGGAGGGACCUCUGUCUGAUUUGUCUGCUCUGAGAUCCCCUCUGGGACUGGAUCCUCACUUGGGAUGUCUG